GGGGCUUGUUGGGUGGGUGUGGGACUGGGAUUCAGGGCGGGGUGGCCUGCCUGCAGCUGCACAUGGCCGCCGCCAGUGGGUUCAGUGAGGCAGCUGCCCUGCUGCUGGAGCAUGGAGCCAGCCUGACUGCCAAGGACCUCGACGGCUGGGAGCCGCUGCACGCUGCCGCCUACUGGGGACAGGUGAGUGUGGUCAGGAGCAGAUGCUGAGCGGGCUCUUGGCUGCGGCUCAAGCCCUCAGCAGCCCCCACUGGCUGGCCUGCAGGUGCACCUGGUGGAGCUGCUUGUGGCAAACGGGGCCGACCUGAAUGGGAGAUCCCUGACGGAUGAGACACCCCUUGGUGAGCUCCAGGGCUGCCUCCACCUGGGGGAAGGGACAGGCAGGGAGGGCCCCUGUGACGCUUGUGGUCAUCUCUCAGAUGUCUGUGGUGAUGAGGAGGUGCGGGCCAGGCUGCUGCAGCUGAAGCAGAAGCAGGAGGCACUCUUGCGAGCCCAGGGCCGCCAGCGCUCCCUGCUGCGCCGCCGCGCCUCCAGUGCAGGCAGCCGCGGGUGAGCUGCCCCACAGUCCAUGCCCAGCCCCCACCCCGGCUGUGCCUCAGGAUGGAUGGGAUGUCAGCCUGCAGGUGGAGCUGCCAGCACAACUAGGCCGGGUCUGAGGGACAGCUGGUGUCCCCUCUCACCUCCACCACACCCCGGCCUUCCAGGAAAGUGGUGAGGCGAGUGAGCCUGACCCAGCGCACCGACCUGUACCGCCAGGAGCAUGCCCAGGAGGCCAUCGUGUGGCAGCAGCCACCACCCCCAAGUCCAGAGCCGCUGGAGGAGGAUGAGGACCACCAGACAGACGCAGAGCUCUGGCUGCCACCCCCAGAGGUGAGAGUCCUGGCCUUGUGCUACCCACCUUCCACGUGGCUUUGGCAUGGGUCCUAGGCUGUGACCUGGCAUCAGUAUGUGAGUUUCCCAUUCACACUGGUCCAGUGUGGAGCUGGGAGGACCAGUGACCUUGUGCCCCUAGGUGGGCCAUGCUCCUCAGGGCUGGGCUGUUGUCCCCCUGCCCCUCACGGUUGUUCUUCUACAACCAGGUAGCCUAGAUCCUGAGGCCAGGGCAAGUAAGAGGAGCUGCCUCCUGACAGCCUUGGGCCCUGAUUCUGCCCACAGGAAGAUGACCCUGAGGUGGCCAGGUCCCACAAUGGCCGAGUAGGGGGCCCCCCAGGGCGGCACCUAUACUCCAAGCGGCUGGACCGGAGUGUGUCGUACCAGCUGAGCCCUGUGGAGAGUACCACCCCAGACACCCUUGUCCGGGACAAGGCCCACCACACCUUGGCCGAACUCAAACGCCAGCGGGCUGCUGCCAAGCUCCUGCGACCACAGCCUGAGGGGCCUGAGGCCCCUGAAUCUGGCUUGUCUGCUGACCCCGUGUCCUCCCAGCCGGACUGCGGCUUCAGGGCAGGCGGGGACCCACCCCUGCUCAAGCUCACAGCCCCAUCUGAGGAGGCCCCGAUGGAGAAGAGGCCAUGCUGCUUGCUCAUGUGAGGGGCUGUACCCAUUUCCAGGCCAGCCCGAGGCUUGCCCUGGAGGCCCACUCAGGGUGUGCCCUGGAACUGCAGGUGGGCAGACACCAGAGUCUUCCCCAGCUUCUACCCCUCAGGACAGUGGACUCUCUGUUGGGGAUGGACUUUAGGCAGAGCCGUAUCUGCAGGCAUCUGCUGCAGAGUGUUUGUCCUGUGACGCUUGAUAAAGGGGUGUUUGUCGUCAAGCCUUCCAGUGUCUCCGCUGGGGAGGGGCAGGCGGUGCUGCUGGACAGGUGCCGCCCAUGCCCUCGAGCAAGCACUCAGGCCUGUAGGUGCGUGCUGGGGCUCGCAAGUAGAGGCCUGGCCCCUGUGUGGGAGGGAGGCCCAAGGGCCACUGGGCAAGAAGCCUGGCCUUCCCCACACCCUCCCUGCCAUAUUCGACUUCCUGGAAGCACUGUUAACUCUUUGUUUUCCUGAGGGCAGUAGGGUACUUCAGAAGGAAGCUCUUUUCGGGCCAGAGCUGAGGGGGACCAUACCAAGGGGCAGGAGUCCUGACCUGCCAAGGGAGGGCGUAUUUUUUCCAGGAUUCCUGGGCCAGAGCCAGUAGAGCAAAUCUGGCACGGCCGGCAUCAGGCACUUCCCAGGGGCAGUGGUUCCCCAAUUCGUGGCCUGUUGCCCUGAUCCUGGGCCCUGGCUGACAACUUGUGCCUGGGCUGGUGUAGGUGACAAGCACUUGGCCACUCAGGCGCCGAGCUGGCUGGGUACAAUGUGUAAGGAUGAAGGGGCCCUUAGGGGACUCAAGCUGGAGGGCUGAGGGCACUGCCAGAUCAUCUCUCUGUCCACAGUAGGCAGCCCUGCAUGGCCACCCGCACUGGGUGGUAUGAGUUUAGGCUACCCUCCUCUCCUUGCUGGGUACUGACCUGGUCUGCUCAGUGUCCAGGGCCCGCCUGCCCUUCUAGCAUCUGUGGUUGGAGGGUUGCUGCCCUUAGCAGGUCUGGGGGAGGGCCAGGGGCUAGCUGCUGGUUAAAUUUAGUGAGUGGGGCGGUACCUCUGCCUAAGGUCCACCUACCACCACAGCUGCCACUUGGGCCCUGAUGCCAGAAGUCAGGCAGUGGCUGGCUCUGACUGGGGCCGGGCUCAUAUUAACCUGUCCUCUGAUGUGAGGGCCAAAGGACAGGCCUGUGAAUUGGGAGGCCAUUGUGGCAGCAGAACUGAGAGGUGCAAGUUGAGAGAGGUAUGUGUGUGUGUGUCUGUGUGCAUGUGUGCGCGCGCGUGCAUUCCCCACUUAGAACUCCUGGUGGCUUCUCUCCCAAUCUGCAGAAACAGAGGAGCCAAGGCUCCCCUUCCGUCUAACCAGCUGCUACUGCCCAGCUCAGAGGGCUGGCUUCCCGACUGUCAGUUCACCCUUGGAUCUGGCUGGCCUGGCAGCCUGCAGAGGCAAACCCUGGGAAUGGCCUGUGAGCCUGUGGAGGUGGGGUUCUGGGGGCCUAUUGCAGUUUACUUCCUGCUCUCUCCACCAAUCAGGAAGGAGGGAAGGUGACAGGCUACCCACCCCCAUGGCUGGGGUGUGGCCCCAAGGGCAACCCCAGGCUCCUGUGUGUUGAAAGGGUAUGAGGGCCACCUGGGGCAAGGGGUUCGCCUGCCCUGUCUGCAGCCCUCCUCCUCCCUCCAGCCCCUUGCAAUGCUGAUCAGGGACCAAGGUCCAGCUGCAGUGUUCUUGUAGUCUCUGGGCCAUGGCCAUUGCCCUGGUGGAACUCAGAGUCUCUACUCCUCACUCGUCCCCCCCAGCCCCCCCAGCAUUCCUAAGGUCUGGCUGUCACCUAGGAGACAGGUCUGUCUGCUGGCCUAAGAAAAGAUGGGGGUGCCAAGAGGGCUAGGCCUCAGCAGUGCCCUGCUGAGGUAAAUCCAGUGGCUACUGGCUGCAGUCUCACCUUAGGGGUCACCCCUACCCAACUCUGCCAACCUCUCAGGUCCACUAGGCCCAGGCAUUGAGCCCUUCCCUCCCCCAACACCAAGGCCGUCUCUCCCUACCCCCCAUGUGGGUCUCCUGCGCUCCUGUCAUGGGGACACUGGGCGGGCACUGGGACUCACCCCAAGCCCCGCCUGCUGCCUCACCCACGCCCUCUGCCUCCCUGGGGCAGAACUGUGCCCAGACUAUGGGGUGGAGCCGAGGCGGCUCCAGCUCCUGCAGCCCUUUCUGUCCCUUUCAUUGGAGCCAGUAGGCUGCAGUGAAGCGGGUGUCCUCUUACGUUGAGCUCCCAAGCCUGGACCCUGCUGCCCCCACCACCACCUCUGGGCCUGCCACCUCCUGAGCCACCUUCCUGCCUGAUCUGAGCAGAGUCAUGGCCUUGAGAGUAGGUGACCAGAGCCGGGCUGCACGGAAUGGGCUGAGGGAGAAGGUGCUGACACUGGACUCCAUGAACCCGUGUGUGCGCAAGGUGGAGUACGCCGUGCGUGGCCCCAUAGUGCUGCGGGCCUUGGAGCUGGAGCAGGAGCUGCGCCAGGUACGGUCCCGAGGCCCUGCUACCCUCCUGCUGUUCCUGGGCUACUAGAUCAGCCUCUGGCCCAGUGGCACUUGGGACUAGGGCUGUGGGGGUAAUGGUGCCCAAUCUGGCUGCCUUCUCCCUUUCCCUCCCAGGGUGUGAAGAAACCCUUCACCGAGGUCAUCCGUGCCAACAUUGGAGAUGCACAGGCCAUGGGGCAGAGGCCCAUCACUUUCUUCCGCCAGGUGAGGCUCCUGUACUGCCUGUGUCCCCUGGCUCCAGCCAUCAGUGUGCCCUGACCUCAUCAUUCCGUCCGCCCAGGUCUUGGCCCUCUGUGUCCACCCAGAUCUCUUGCACAGCCCUGACUUCCCUGAGGAUGCCAAACGAAGGGCUCAGCGCAUCUUGCAGGCAUGCGGGGGCCACAGCCUGGGUGAGUGCUGGUGCCAGGCGGGGACCAAGCCCCAGGAAGAAGCAGAGAAGGGUGGAUCUCUUGGGAGGGUUGCGGGAGGACUAGCCACUUUCAUGGGUCUGCUCUGCUCUGCUUGCCGGAGUCCAGGGGCCUAUAGCAUCAGCUCUGGCAUCCAGCUGAUCCGUGAGGAUGUUGCACGGUACAUCGAGAGGCGAGAUGGAGGCAUCCCUGCUGACCCCAACAACAUCUUCCUGUCCACGGGUGCCAGUGAUGCCAUCGUGGUAGGCUGGGCCACGGCAGGACACAAUGGCUCUUCAACUGUGGUUCCACAGGGCAGGGGACGGGUGCAGCCCCUUGGCCCUGCCAACACUGCGCUCCUCCCCCUGCCCACAGACGGUGCUGAAGCUGCUGGUGGCUGGUGAGGGCCGCCGGCGUACAGGCGUGCUCAUCCCUGUCCCGCAGUACCCGCUCUACUCGGCCACUCUGGCCGAACUGGACGCUGUGCAGGUGGACUACUACCUGGAUGAGGAGCGCACUUGGGCACUCGAUGUGGCUGAGCUGCGGCGCAGGCUGUCUCAAGCACGUGACCACUGCUGCCCACGCGCGCUCUGCGUGAUCAACCCCGGCAACCCCACCGGUGCGCCACCUCCCUGCCCCACCUACCCUGACCCCUCCAGCUGCUACAUGCUCCUAGGCCUACCACAAUGGGUCAGUCAACCCCCACUGUCCAGAUGAGCAGGGGUGGGGUGGUGGGUGCCCGCAGUUGACCCUGGCCGCGCUGCUGUCCCCAGGGCAGGUGCAGACCCGGGAGUGCAUCGAGGCUGUGAUCCGCUUCGCAUUCGAAGAGGGACUCUUUCUGAUGGCUGAUGAGGUGCUUACAGGGAUGCGCAAGGGAGGGUGGCUGCGGGUCAGCGGCCGGCCGCGUGACGACAGCGCCCCUGCAGGUGUACCAGGACAACGUGUACGCAGAGGGCUCGCGCUUCUACUCCUUCAAGAAGGUGCUCACCGAGAUGGGCCCACCGUACUCCACGCAGCAGGAGCUUGCCUCCUUCCACUCAGCCUCCAAGGGCUACAUGGGCGAGUGCGUGUGGGCCGGUGGCGGGGGGGGGUUCUUGGACUCCAGCCACUUUCCUGCCCCCUUCUUCCCGGCUGGGCCUCGACCUUGACGCCUGCCCUACCUGGCAGGUGCGGGUUCCGCGGUGGCUACGUGGAGGUGGUGAACAUGGACCCCGAAGUGCAGCGGCAGAUGCUGAAGCUGAUGAGUGUGCGGCUGUGCCCGCCUGUGCCGGGCCAGGCCCUGCUGGACAUGGUGGUCAGCCCGCCAGCACCCUCUGACCCCUCCUUUGCGCAGUUCCAGGAGGUGAGGGAAAUGAGGCCAAGGGCAUCUGGCGAGCCAGUUGGGAAAAGGAUUGAGGGCUAUUGUGUCCCUGCCAUGCCCUGAUUGUCCCCUCCGUGGCUGCAGGAGAGGCAAAUGGUGCUAGCUGAGCUGGCGGCCAAGGCCAAGCUCACGGAGCAGGUCUUCAAUGAAACUCCUGGCAUCAGAUGCAACCCAGUGCAGGGUGCCAUGUACUCCUUCCCUCGAGUGCAGCUGCCCCCCCGGGCGGUCCAGCUUGCUCAGGUCUGGUGGGGCAGGGCAGGGUGGGGCGGAGGCCUGGGCAUAGAGCUCUGACCGCCCUCCACACCGCAGGAGCUCGGCCUGGCCCCAGACAUGUUCUUCUGCCAGCGCCUCCUGGAGGAGACCGGAAUCUGCGUGGUGCCUGGGAGCGGCUUUGGGCAACUGGAGGGCACCUAUCACUUCCGGUGAGACCAGGCCCGCACAGCCUGCCAGUGCCUGCUGUGCCCCCUUUGGCUUAUAGCUUGCCCUUUCCAGGAUGACCAUCCUGCCCCCCAUGGAGAAGCUUCGACUGCUGCUGGAGAAGCUGAGCCGUUUUCAUGCCAAGUUCACCCGGGAGUACUCCUGAGGCCACCACAGGGACCAGGCUGGGCUGCCUGGACUGACUUUGCCCAGGGACCUGGUGGUCUCUGGACCCCUCAGAACUUGCUGCUGCCCCUUGGGGGCUGGGCAUCUCUCUCUGCCAGUUCCUAAUAAAGCUGAGUGUGGUUAUGACUCUGGAGGGGUGAGCCCCACUUCCAUGGGUGAUGACUCC
rnacentral:lncRNA from 1 species